rnacentral:tRNA from 1 species
UAGAGCGACGGACUGUUAAUCCGCAGGUCCCUGGUUCGAGCCCAGGUGGGAGAGCCA